AUGAAUGUUGAAAAGCUUGAUCAUAUCUUGUACAACAAUGCCAUGAUUCCUAUCUUUUCUGAAACAGCUGAGUGUCUGGUGUUGAAGGUCGCUUCUCAUGGUUCGAAGUUGAAGAACUUCUUUGGCAGUCCCAUGCCUGAGGAGGUGAGAAGGAUCGUUAGCGAGUUCCAUCUUCUGGAGUUUGUUGAUUGCUCCUUGACCAUGCUGGACGCUGUUGAGAGGGGCACCCGGAGACAUCAUCCUUCCAUCUUCCAUUUGGACAAAUGA